AUGGUUUGUACUGAAUGUUUUUUUCGUAAUGCUAUUUACCUGUAUGAAACAAAGCUGAGAGCAGAGGGGGAUACACAACAAUUUCCUGGGAAGGGGCUACCCAGAAACACUGUUCAUAUAGGACUGGAUGGCACUGGCCUUCCUUCCUCUGACCCUGCACCUUUGCAAAACCUUAUUGGUGUGCAUUUUCCAUUCAUUAUUUAUCCAACUCCGCAGCUUCUGUGUCCUCAGUUGUCUGGUGGACUGAAAGAAAGACAUAUGGUGCUUGGACAUUCACCUUCAGCUAACCAGGUCGCUUUGCCAUUGUCACUGCACAGCUCCUUCUGCUUCAGCCGUGGACUUGAUGUAAUCAGCUGCAAUAGGCUUUUUUUGUCUGCAUCUCUCCUUGCUUCUUCUUUCAUGUGUCUCUCCAGCUCUGCUUCUGUUCUUUAGUUUAUUUACCAGAUGCAGAGAAGAUAAGGAGCAAACAAGAAUCAGUCCCUUGUCCCUCUGCCUGUGCAAGGCUGGGGCUCGUUUAGCACCCCUCAGUGCUUCCCCACGCGGUCUGAGGCAGCUUCUAAGCUCCAGCAGCAGCAAGUUGGCACAAGGACCCUGACUUCUCCCAGCAGCUGAUAGAGCUCUCUCCAGGCACAGAAGAAAGCAGGGACCACCUUUCAGAAAGGCAACUUGCUGUUUCUCUUCCAAAAGAGAAAGAUGGAAAGGACAUGAUCAGCAGGGACUAAUUUUGUCUUCUGGCAAUGUCAGUGGGGAGGUCCUAGGCUGAUAUUAAUGGUGGCCUCUCCAUGGUAGCAGUGAGGCACUUUGGCAAGAAUUUUCUGUAAGUGAUUUCAAGUACAAUUCUGUUGCCUGUGCUGUAAUUACUGUGUUGACAAGACACAGAAGUUUGGUCUCUAGAGUUGUUGGUUUGGCAUCUCUUUUGACUAUUAAAAGUGCUGUGCUAUAUUAUUAUUUUCUUUAAAUAAAUUGAAUGCUGGAUAGUUCCUGGAAUCCUCA
rnacentral:lncRNA from 1 species